rnacentral:rRNA from 1 species
UACGUAGGGGGCAAGCGUUGUCCGGAAUCAUUGGGCGUAAAGCGCGUGUAGGCGGCUUGGUAAGUCCGUUCUGAAAGCCCGGGGCUCAACCCCGGGAGGCGGAUGGAUACUGUCAAGCUUGAGUCCGGAAGAGGCGAGUGGAAUUCCCGGUGUAGCGGUGAAAUGCGCAGAUAUCGGGAGGAACACCGGUGGCGAAGGCGGUUCUCUGGGCCUGUACUGACGCUGAGGAGCGAAAGCGUGGGGAGCGAACAGG